UACGUAGGGGGCAAGCGUUGUCCGGAUUUAUUGGGCGUAAAGAGCGUGUAGGCGGCUAGAUAGGUCCGUUGUGAAAACUCGAGGCUCAACCUCGAGACGCCGGUGGAAACCAUCUAGCUAGAGUCCGGAAGAGGAAAGUGGAAUUCCUGGUGUAGCGGUGAAAUGCGCAGAUAUCAGGAAGAACACCCGUGGCGAAGGCGGCUCUCUGGUACGUGACUGACGCUGAGACGCGAAAGCGUGGGGAGCGAACAGG
rnacentral:rRNA from 1 species